GAUGAACGCUAGCGGGAGGCUUAACACAUGCAAGUCGAGGGGCAUCACGAGGUAGCAAUACUUUGGUGGCGACCGGCGCACGGGUGAGUAACGCGUAUGCAACCUGCCUAUUACAGGAGGAUAGCUUCCGGAAACGGAAAUUAAUACUCCAUAAAGUUUUAAUAAGGCAUCUUAUAAAAAUUAAAGCUCCGGCGGUAAUAGAUGGGCAUGCGUAACAUUAGCUAGUUUGUAAAGUGAACAGGCUACCAACGCAACGCACAUUUAAGGGUUCCGCACAAGGUAACCCCCCACACGGUAUCGAGAACGGACACAUCCCACCGGGAGCAACAGCGAAGAAUAUUGGUCAACGGGCGCAAGCCUCGAACCAGGCCAUCCCGCGUGCAGGAAGACGGCCCUAUGGGUUGUAAACUGCUUUUCUGAGGGAAGAAUAGUUUUGAUUCGUUCAAGACAUGACGGUACCUCAGGAAUAAGCAUCGGCUAACUCCGUGCCAGCAGCCGCGGUAAUACGGAGGAUGCAAGCGUUAUCCGGAUUUAUUGGGUUUAAAGGGUGCGUAGGCGGACCUGUAAGUCAGUGGUGAAAUCCUGCAGCUUAACUGUAGCAUUGCCAUUGAAACUGUAGGUCUUGAGUUAGGUUGAGGUAGGCGGAAUGUGUAAUGUAGCGGUGAAAUGCUUAGAUAUUACACAGAACACCGAUUGCGUAGGCAGCUUACUGGACCUUAACUGACGCUGAGGCACGAAAGCGUGGGGAGCGAACAGGAUUAGAUACCCUGGUAGUCCACGCCGUAAACUAUGAUUACUCGUUGUUGGCAAUACACAGUCAGCGACCAAGCGAAAGCGAUAAGUAAUCCACCUGGGGAGUACGCUCGCAA
rnacentral:rRNA from 1 species